rnacentral:rRNA from 1 species
AGAACGAACGCUGGCGGCAUGCCUAAUACAUGCAAGUCGAACGAACUCUUCGGAGUUAGUGGCGCACGGGUGCGUAACGCGUGGGAAUCUGCCCCUUGGUUCGGAAUAACAGUUGGAGACGACUGCUAAUACCGGAUGAUGACGAAAGUCCAAAGAUUUAUCGCCAAGGGAUGAGCCCGCGUAGGAUUAGCUAGUUGGUGAGGUAAAGGCUCACCAAGGCAACGAUCCUUAGCUGUCUGAGAGGAUGAUCAGCCACUACUGGGACUGAGACCGACCGGCCCAAGACCUCCGUACGGGAGGCCAGCAGGUAAGGGAAUAUUGGAACAAGUCGGGGACAAAGCCUGAC